rnacentral:rRNA from 1 species
UACGUAGGGGUCAAGCGUUGUCCGGAAUCAUUGGGCGUAAAGCGCGUGUAGGCGGCCCGGUAAGUCCGCUGUGAAAGUCCAGGGCUCAACCCUGGAAUGCCGGCGGAUACUGUCGGGCUCGAGUCCGGAAGAGGCGAGUGGAAUUCCUGGUGUAGCGGUGAAAUGCGCAGAUAUCAGGAGGAACACCAAUGGCGAAGGCAGCUCGCUGGGACGGUACUGACGCUGAGACGCGAAAGCGUGGGGAGCAAACAGG